GGAACCCUAAUGUAUGCGUUAUGGUGCCAAUAUUAUUGAACCGAACAAUUUGAUCUACCUAGGGAGCUUAAGUUCGAGCGUGGCGCACAUGCCCUUUCACGGGGACUUGUAAGACGUUAGACAGGGCACCCACCUGCUGUCUUGAUAGCGGGUUCAAACAAUGGUAUCAAAGGACGGUACGAUUGGGGCUCCU
rfam:Listeriaceae bacterium FSL A5-0281 contig000019, whole genome shotgun sequence.